rnacentral:rRNA from 1 species
GAUGAACGCUAGCGGCAGGCCUAACACAUGCAAGUCGAGGGGUAACAUAGAAAAGCUUGCUUUUCUGAUGACGACCGGCGCACGGGUGCGUAACGCGUAUACAACCUACCUUUUAGCGGGGAAUAGCCCAAGGAAACUUGGAUUAAUGCCCCAUAGUAUAUAGACUUCUCCUGAAGUUUAUAUUAAACAUUUAUGGCUAUUAGAUGGGUAUGCGUCCUAUUAGUUAGUUGGUAAGGUAACGGCUUACCAAGGCAGCGAUAGGUAGGGGUCCUGAGAGGGAGAUCCCCACACUGGUACUGAGACACGGACCAGACUCCUACGGGAGGCAGCAGUGAGGAAUAUUGGACAAUGGGCGAGAGCCUGAUCCAGCCAUGCCGCGUGCAGGAAGACUGCCCUAUGGGUUGUAAACUGCUUUUACAGAGGAAGAACCACCCCCACGUGUGGGGGUUUGACGGUACUCUGCGAAUAAGGAUCGGCUAACUCCGUG